rnacentral:rRNA from 1 species
AUGCAAGAGAUAGUGUGUGCCUGUGCGGGUAAGCCAUUGCAGGCCAACAGUCGGUCAACGAGGUGUGGCUGCAAUGUCAUGAUAAGACUGCUGAGGUCGGAUGAUGGUGGAUGGUAUGUAUGUGAGCACAGGUCAGAGCACAACCAUGCUUUAUCUGUCAUUUGUGGAGAGAAAUUGCACUGGAAGUCGCACCGACACAUAGAUACCUAUACGAGGGACCUGGUUAAGCAGUUGAGAGAGAAUAAUAUCAGCAUUAGCAAGGUGUAUAGUGUUGUAGGAAGUUUUUUUUGGCAUGAUUAG